UACGGAGGGAGCAAGCGUUGUUCGGAUUUACUGGGCGUAAAGGGCGGGUAGGCGGCCACCGCAGGUCAGUUGUGAAAUCUCCGGGCUUAACCCGGAAAGGUCAACUGAUACUGCGGGGCUAGAGUGCAGAAGGGGCAACUGGAAUUCUCGGUGUAGCGGUGAAAUGCGUAGAUAUCGAGAGGAACACCUGCGGCGAAGGCGGGUUGCUGGGCUGACACUGACGCUGAACUGCGAAAGCUAGGGGAGCGAACGGG
rnacentral:rRNA from 1 species